rnacentral:snoRNA from 1 species
CUGCAAGUAUUCUCACUUUUCUGAUUCUGUAAUAAUCAGAACAGGCUAAACAUUUGCUACAUUAAGACCACACAUAUAUCUCCAGACCUUGUUCUUUCCCUAUGUCUGGUUUUAUAAAUGCUGGUAAUAAGG